CUCGAGGUGCUGGGGGACGCGUGAGCGCGAGCCGCUUCCUCACGGCUCGGCCGCGGCGCGUAGCCCCUGCCACAUCGGG
ensembl:miRNA